GACGAACGCUGGCGGCGUGCUUAACACAUGCAAGUCGAACGGAAAGGCCCUGCUUGCAGGGUGCUCGAGUGGCGAACGGGUGAGUAACACGUGGGUGAUCUGCCCCUUACUUUGGGAUAAGCCUGGGAAACUGGGUCUAAUACUGGAUAGGACCAUGCUGUAGGUGGUGUGGUGGAAAGAUUAGUUUCGGUAAGGGAUGAGCUCGCGGCCUAUCAGCUUGUUGGUGGGGUAAUGGCCUACCAAGGCGUCGACGGGUAGCCGGCCGGAGAGGGUGGACGGCCACAUUGGGACUGAGAUACGGCCCAGACUCCUACGGGAGGCAGCAGUGGGGAAUAUUGCACAAUGGGCGCAAGCCUGAUGCAGCGACGCCGCGUGGGGGAUGACGGCCUUCGGGUUGUAAACUCCUUUCAGCCAUGACGAAGCCUUCGGGUGACGGUAGUGGUAGAAGAAGCACCGGCUAACUACGUG
rnacentral:rRNA from 1 species